UCAGAUUGAACGCUGGCGGAAUGCUUACACAUGCAAGUCGAACGGUAGAGGGGCAACCCUCGAGAGUGGCGAACGGGUGAGUAAUAUAUCGGAACGUGCCCAGUCGUGGGGAUAACGUAGCGAAAGUUACGCUAAUACCGCAUACGAUCUACGGAUGAAAGCAGGGGAUCGCAAGACCUUGCGCUAUACGAGCGGCCGAUGUCAGAUUAGCUAGUUGGUAGGGUAAAGGCCUACCAAGGCAACGAUCUGUAGCGGGUCUGAGAGGAUGAUCCGCCACACUGGGACUGAGACACGGCCCAGACUCCUACGGGAGGCAGCAGUGGGGAAUUUUGGACAAUGGGCGAAAGCCUGAUCCAGCCAUGCCGCGUGAGUGAAGAAGGCCUUCGGGUUGUAAAGCUCUUUCGGCUGGGAAGAAAUCGCACAGGCUAAUACUCUGUGUGGAUGACGGUACCAGCACAAGAAGCACCGGCUAACUACGUG
rnacentral:rRNA from 1 species